rnacentral:lncRNA from 1 species
GGGAAUUUUAGCUUAGAUGCUCUGUACAGAGAACAGAGGCUGAGCUGCCCUGCACCAGAGAAUAUCUAGAGAUCUGAUUGCUCUCCCUACAGUGGUAUUGUCACUUAUCAUAAGUUAUAAAUCUAAAACUAUUUUUACAUUUUUAGUAUUUGGUAACACUUUUAAAUUUUUAAUAACUCUCAAAACAUCAAAAGUGCAUUAAGACGUCAGAUUAAGUAGUGCAAUUUUUGACUCUUACAGAUAAUUAAUACAAAAUAUUUGUGGACAUUUACCACCCAAUGGUGGGCAGGGGGAGCGCAUGCUGAAACAAUAUUAGCAUCUGCCUCAAAAAUGAAUCGUUAUUUUAAGAAGAUUAUGUCUGAAGACCACAAUUUAAUAGAUUUACAUUGAUCAUCCACUAUGUUCCAGAUACUACAUGAUACUAACAAGACAACAGGAGAAGUGAUAUCAAAAGACAACGACUACACCAAAAUUUGGAGAAAAAGGUGAAUCCAGACAGUCACAGAAAGGGCCUCCUACCCUACAUCACUCAAAUUGGAAAAAGGUGACUUGAAGAACAAUUGCUCUGAACCUGAAGGUUUUCAAAGCAUUGACACAGAAUGAAGGACUUGGAAGAAAGAAAAAAUUGGACCCUGAAAACCUGUCCUGCUUUUGUUCAAUCAGUGAGAAAGAUACCAGCCUUUCAUGUUCUCAGCAGUAUCUUUUCAACAAAUAGAGACUGCUAGACUUCAGAUUUUUUUAAAGUUGUUGGUUUUUUUACCUCUAUGAAAGAUUGUAAGGAGAGUAAAGUAUAAGUAAGAGAAAAAUCUUGAAGAUAAUAAGGAUAUUGCAGUCAGUAAUGCCAUCAAGGCUCUGAUGCCAAGGCUCUUUAAGAGCAGGUUCAGUUUCAGUAAAACAGUAAGCAAAAGUACUGUGAUUUGAACUUCCUGAGUAAGCAUACAAUACAAUUUGAAGAUGUAGUUGAACAAUUUUUAGCAAAAUGAAUUUUACAUUGAUAUUAGUAUAUACAUAUAAUAUUGAAUAGAAAUACCACAUUUUUGCUGUAAAUUAUUUUGCUUACAAAAAGCUGUAAUGACACUCCCUAGUGAGAUGAACCCGGUACCCAUGCUAGAUGACGAGUUAGUGGGUGCAGCGCACCAGCAUGGCACAUGUAUACAUAUGUAACUAACCUGCACAUUGUGCACAUGUACCCUAAAACUUAAAGUAUAAUAAAUAAAUAAAUAAAUAAAUAAAUAAAUAAAUAAAUAAAUAAAAGCUGUAAUGGACAGUUUGUUAAGUGUCUAUAAAUUGAUACAC